UUCCACAGCUACUGGUCUGCAGCUGUUCUUAUGUAGCAGUUGUGGCAUUCCUCUGUGGGAAAGAAACUGUUAACACAGUCAAACACCUCUUUCUUAGGAAAACAGAAAGUGGGUAUAUGUGUGACAGACACAA
ensembl:snoRNA